rnacentral:tRNA from 1 species
UGCUUUUAUGUUGUAAGUUAUGAACAACUUCAUUUACAAAGCGAAGUUGAAAGCAAAAUUUAAUUAAAAGUAUUCAGUGCUAUUCUAAGGAUUGCAA